rnacentral:lncRNA from 1 species
AGUAAUUUGGAUAUAGAAUAGAAAGUGCAUAUGAUAUGAGAGAUAAUGAGCUAUCAACUAUAUGUAGUUUAGAAUCUUUCAAAAGAAUGUCAGCUGAAGCAUGUAUGUUCAAAAAGUAGCGCCUUUACAUCCAACACACAGCCAAAAGUUCCAUGAGCAAAUAAGGACAUUGAAAAAUCAAUCACCAUGGAGCCAUACCUCACUUUGAUGAGCAACAACAGACUGGACAGGUUUGGUCACAGCGGGGCUGCGAAGAUCCCAUAUAAGUAGGUACUGAUCAUCCCCCACAGAACCAAAUAAGUACUCAUGCCUCAGAUGCCACGCUACAUCUUCCACAACUCCUUCAUGAACCUAUUCAGCAAAACAAGACAUCAAAAAAAGAAAUCAAAUCGAAGUUCAAAACCAAAAGUUAACAGAGAUUCAAUCAACAGUUACAGAACAUAUAACGAGAUUACAUCAGUGAGGCAUUCAAAAUGAAGACCUUGAAAAUCUGGGUGGCGUCAAGAGUCUUAUUCUUAGGAGUAGCAUUGAUAUCCCACAAGCAAAUCUGUGCAUCGUCGGAACCGCUGAGUAAAUGGCCUUGCUUCAACGUGCUCCAGGAAAGACCAUAACCUUCAGUGUUGUGUCCACUCAACCUCAAAUCUGGACUGCAAGCUCCGUCCAGUGGAGGUUUAGAAGGGUGCUUGCUAUAGUCAAAGACGUAGACUUCGGCGCUGACGGUCUUGGUGGCAAUUAUAAAAGGGUUUUGAGGCAUGUAGCGAGCUCUGUUCACCUCUCCCUCGUGAUUUAUCUGCUGAACUAUUUGUACCUACAGAAAGAACAAUUAAGAAAAUCAACUGGUAAAGCAUAAACCCUAAAAAUUCAAAAUUGGGGGGGCAAUGAAAACAGAAGAAUUGACAGACCUUGCCGCUGGCAGCACCAAAGCCGCCCGAAUUAGAGAGGUCGUCGUCGUAAUUGCGGGAGUCAUUCUCGGCGCCUUCUGAGGGAAGCUGAACCUGAGCGAGCAUGAGGUAAUUAGGCUCGUUUUCGGAGGUGUGGGUGCCGAGGAUCAUCUUCUGGACGGAGUAGUCUUUGCCCGGAGGCUCGUCGCGAUCCGGCAACCAUUCGACGGAAAGCGAAGGCCAUUCGAGGGCGUGAGUGAUGACGAGGUCGUAGAGGAAAGGAGUGUUCUUUUUCCAUAUUUUGUACUCUUCGUUGAUAAGCCUUUCCUCCAUCUCCCCUCUCAUCUCUUCGUCGUCUUUCCCCAUUUACACUGCUUAGCUUCAAAUUGGGAUUUAUCCCUUCCUGUCUGUGUAACCAAUAUGGGGGGUUUUGGAUUCGCUUCUUGGGUGUUUUACUUUUAUCAGAAGGGUCGAAGGUUAAUGAUGAAGGCAGUGAAGCUAGAGAUGAAGAAACGGCGAACUGAUGCAGACACUGAAGUUCAGUGGCUGAGUGUAAAAUUAGGAGCGGGAAUGGGCGAGACCGGUCCGGACGAAGGGGGUAAUAGCCGGAGGCCUUAGGGUAAGAGACCUUAAAUUUUCUGAAAGGGAUAAAUGCAAUAUAGAUCAUUAGAUUGAUCUUAUUUGAUCUGAUGGUAGAUAUAUAUAAUAUAAUAACUAAAAAGGGUAUUAUUGUCAAAUAUGAAAAGACUAAUCCAAUUAAUAAGACUACCAUUUUCACAUUCCUAGAUAUUAAAAGGACUCCCUUUUCGAGUGAGUGAGUGGGUGGGUGGUAAUUAGAUGGUUAUUUGUCCAAAGUAAAGUUGUUUUAGUGGUAAAGUUGUGUAGUAGUGUUUUAAAAAUUUUGGGUUCAAAUUCUGUACACCUUAUGAAAUGAACACACUAUAAUGUUUAUUUAUAUUUUUUAUCUUGUAUUAAAUGAAAUGUCUCUACCUGAAAAAAAAAACUAGAUGGCCCUCCUUCAUUCAUUCUCUUUCUUUCUCCAUCUCCCUCUUUGUUUCUUAAGCAUUUACAUACUUUUGCUUGGCCCGAAAUCGAUCUUUGUAAUCACCCUCAUCAACAACUGAUUACCAAUAACACAGGUCUUCACAAAGUCGUAAGACCAUGUAUGGGGGCUGACACGGCCUAGUGCCAAAAGGUCAAGGAAAUUUGUGACCUGAUGACAGGGAGUCGGGCGAUAUAAACUCCAGAGAACGUUGGCAAUAACUAUAACGAUCCUAAGGUAGCAAAAUUCCUUAUCAAGUAAGUUCCUGAUAAUAUAUGUUCAUAGAAUUGUGAGAGUGAUCUAUGAGAUUUUAUAAAAUAUUUUAGUUGAUCGAUUUACAAAAUUGGGUGGAAAAAAUAAGGUGGACUAGGGUGGUAAAUGGUAAUAGACAAAAAAUGAUCAAAUAAGUUUGGGAUCAGUUAACAAAAUGGUUACAACAGUUUAACAACAUGUGACAUGAUGGGCGGAAACGUACAUAAUUACCAUGAACAGCUCGCUCAAAGUUUUAGCCGAUACUAGCGAUCAACAAGGAGAUUGUUAAGGAGUAACCUAUAAAUUAAUGCAGGAAGGAGAAUGACGAUCAUACUUCGCUCCGAUGUGCUAAGGAGCUUUGGUAGAAUCAUCAACUGGUAAAUCAUCUUCAUCAUGGUAUAUGUUCUCAGCCAUCUGCCAUAUCUGAAGGAUGUUAUCUUCAGCCACACUCGCUACAACCCAGUCUUCACACGGAUUCCACGAAAAAUCUGAUAUUUUACUCGUGUGACCUCCAUGAAUGAAGAGCAGCUCCGGCGGACCAUCUUCCGCAUCCUCGGGAGUCUGCUGCUCAUCGAUCCUGCAAAGAGUCCGGGUCAGACAUCGAUGAAAGACAUUGAUGAUUAGUCAGAAAGAGCUACCGAAACAGAUUCUCAAGGAAUGAUUUAUUUCUGCGAUCGUUAAGCUCGUGUUCAUAAAAGAUUUGUAGGCUACAAGGAAAACUAAUUACACGACUCUUAAAAUUCAACAGAUGCCACUGAAAAGCAUUGCUCAUAGUUAAGGGAGGAAUAUGGAUGUGGGGUUGAAAGUGAAUAACGACGAGUCAGGUACCAAUAAUAUGGAUUGAAACGUAACAAUCCAUGACUUUUGUGUACAAGACAAAGGAAAAAGAAUUAUUCUCAGGACGAAAACAUAGAAAGAAAGAAAGAACCUUUAGUCUUGCCAAUAUCUAAGUUAGAUCAGUUAUCUUCUUUCAGAAAUAAGCCUCAUGAAGUACAAACCUUUGACACACUGAUAUAGCUAUUGUUUUUGUCAAUCUGAUACAGAAACUCAGAACCAAAAAAAAAAGAUGAGCAUGUACGAAUUUGCAUUAAAGAAAGGUGUAAAACAAGUUUCUGAUUCCUCCGGGUCUAGUUGAUGCAUUCAUUCGUCUAUUUUCUCAAACCCGCAGAAUCUUAAACUUUUCCUUUUUUUUUCUCUGACAAUGCAAAAGUUUUAUGUUUUAUGAAUAACUAUAUGUAGUGAAAUUACUCAGAAGUUCAUGUCAUCAACAGAAACCCUACAAGGGAUCAACCAAGAAAACCAACUACAGAUGUUACGGUUAAUUAAGGGAAUGCACCAACCUGCUAAGAUCCCAAACCAUGAGCCUCCUUCCAAGGCAACAAGAAGCUAGGAUGGUCUCAUUCUUUGGAUUCCAGCCAACUUGGAAGACUUCUUCUCUGUCAAAAGCAAGAAGAGGGGUGUAAAACACUAAGAAAUCAUCUCAGAGCAUAUGCUACACAUUCAUAACACGCAAGCAAUUGGAUCUCCCAAGUAAGUCUUUAAUUGUGAAAUGAUACAGCUUUAAGAGGAGCAUACUUGUGACAAUCGAAUGUGUGCAGUGCAGUACUGAUCUUGCGCAAGUCAAACAAUUUGACGGUCUUAUCAGUUGAUCCAGUUGCCACAACCCAUUCAUUGAAUGGAUUGAAGGCCAAACAGUUCACCUAUCAGAAAAUCAACGAAAAACAGAUCAAUUUGGAUAUAAAAUAGGAAGUGCAUAUGAAAUGAGAGCUAGCAACUAUAUGUAGAUUAGAAUAGUUCAUAAAAUGUAAACUGGAGCAUGAUUGUUCAACAAGUGAGCACCUUUACAUCCAACACACUACCAUCCCUUCCAUGAGCAAAUAAGGAAAUUGAAGAAAAUCAAACACCAUGGAGCCAUACCUCACUUUGAUGAGCAACAACAGACUGGACAGGUUUAGUUACAGCUGGGCUGCGAAUAUCCCAUAUAAGUAGGUACUGAUCAUCCCCCACAGAACCAAAUAAGUACUCAUGCCUCAGAUGCCACGCUACAUCUUCCACAACUCCUUCAUGAACCUAUUCAGUAAAACAACACAUAAAAAGAGAACAUAAAAAACACAGAGGAAAAGAGAUUCAAUCAAAUAGUUACAGAACAUAUAACGAGAUUACAUCAGUGAGGCAUUCAAAAUGAAGACCUUG